GAAGAACGCCGAUGCUAACCCGCUCAGUGAAACGGGAACUGGCAGAAAUAGGCAAUGUUUACCAAAGUUUACCAACAACACCUUAAUUUUAAUUCUGUAUUUUUAAUAAGUGGCUUGGGUUGUAACAUUUUAUAAUGCAAGGCUUGGGCUUGUUUGUUGCAUACUGCCAAGAUGGGCCUAUUUAAGUAUGUCUUCUGGCCAACACAAAAAGCUCAGGUCAGGCAUCAGGGUCAGUGCUGAUUUUAAAUAGCUGUCAUGGGGAACCUGGUAUUUAAAAUGUGGAAGGAGUGUGAAGAGGUCAGCUGCACCCUGCGUCCUUCUGGAGGCUGCUCGUUUUUAGCCCGGUGCUUAUUCAUGAGGUGAUGAGCAUUUCUAGGAGGCACACGAUAUAAAUAUUUAGCACUGUCAGUGGAGAAGGAAAAUAUUGUUGGAACAAUGUCUUCAUUUGUCAGAGGAAAAAUAGGGAAAAAUUUUUUUUUGAGAGAGAUCACAAUUAACUGCUCCCCAUGAACUGUUUCUCUAAAGAUUUCAGGCAGACGGUGCUCUUGCAGCGAGAAGAGUGAAUGCCAAUUGAGAGGAACAUGGAUCCAUUUAUACAGCCAGAGAAAUCAUUCUGUCAGACAGGAUAUAGGUACACAAAUUAAGCAGGUAUCAAAAUUAUAUCGUCUCUUCAGCGGCAACUGCCUCUCAAGAACAGGCUAUGGACAGGAAUAGGUAACGAUUUUAGCAGUCUGUAAUUUAAUUCUGCCAGCAUGUGACUACAGCAGUAGGCACCUGCUACUAACAAUGACAGGCAGCGCUGCCCAACUGCCCAGCAAAUCCCUUUCCUUCCCAUCACUGGAAAACUUCAGGCUGUGAUUCCCCUGCACAGGAGCCCCGAGCCUCCGGCACGAUGGUAUGGGAGAUCUGCCCUUCUUGCUGUCCUCCCAGUUCCUGAGGAGAAGUGCAGGUCGUGUUGCAGCCCUGCCUCCAGAGUACAAGAUGAGAAAUGUAAGAAGGUCCCUGAUGCCUUACUGGUGGCUUUGAUGCCACAGAAAAGGUAUGUAGGUGUGACAUGAACUCCAGUGAGAUGUGCAGAUUUAGAAGAAAGUGUGGAAGGGCUUUCUGGGUACCUGUGAUGCUGUUAGCAUCUGUGACCUUGCUUAUUUCAUGGUUAAAGGUGUUUUUUUAGACAAGUUAUUUUAUUACAGAGCUCAACCUGAGCAAUGC
rnacentral:lncRNA from 1 species